UUCUUAUUUUGGGUUCUUGCAGUGAGAUGUGGAUGAUAUGAUUUCAAGUGAACAUCAAACCCUGGAUUUAUAAGCUAAAAAGGACCAUACUUCAAGGAAAUAUUCAGGAUUAUUUCAAGGUUUCAGAAACAGUUUAUCAAGCAGGAUAGGAUGAGUAGUAUGGCUGUUUUUCAUGUGUGGAUGAAUAUGAUGGAACCAAGAUGUUAACCUUCAGGAACACCGACCCUUGUAGCAAAGGACUAUACAGGGGCUGUCCCUCUGGUGAAGAAACCCAGUUAUAAGCCCUUAUGAGAAAUGGCCACCAAAAUCUCGCAUUGGGCUCAGCGUGGAAAAAAUACCCCCUGAAGGUA